UUUCUGUAGUGAAACUUUUUAAUGAAGCUCAAUGUAUAAUCACAACAAACUAUAACACAAAACUUUUAAAAUUCUGAUCUCACAAUGUAAAAAAUAAACUAUACAUUGAUUAUAAAUGUGGUUCGUGUAUAUAAAUAACAUUGGUCAUACACAUAUAACAAUUUGUGUUUACAACAAUUUGAUUAACUUUGAUUAAUCAUUGAUUUAUGAGAUUAACAAUGUCAAUAAUCACCGUUUCCUAAAUGUAAAACAUUUCCCAUAUCAGUUUCAAAGGAUUGAACGACAUAUUCUGCUGAACAUAUGCACUCUCUUCAAGUGAAAUAAUACAAUGAAAACAACUUAAAACAAAAACUUUAUAAUAUUUCAAGGCAUUAUUUAAUUUCAUACAUGUACAAGAAUUAAAUUUAGUGAUGCUUUUCUUACUUAUUCAUUCCCAAAUGACAUCUAAUAUUUUUACUGUAUUUUGCAUUCUACAAACACAAAGGUAUGGAUUUUAAUCUUUGACCCCAUCAAAUUGUUGACUGUAUUUAGAAAGGUUGUCUGAAAAGGUUUUUUUAAUCUAUCUGUUUUAAUUGGUGGGAGAUUGGGCAUUGAAUGUUGGUAUAUUGUGCUCCCCAAAUCUGUACAAUUAUUUUGUUGAUUUCUUUUUUUUUCUUUUUUGCAAAUAAUGUCACCAUAUUUCUGUUUAGUCAGAAAUUGAAGUCAGACCAAAUCUCAACAAAAGCAUUUCACAGUCAGCAAAAGUUUACUCAAACAAUUUCUUAGAACAGCAUUUGAUAUAUACUAUUUUGGCACAUGUCUUAGUUUCCUUUUUUUUGGAAAAUAUCAAUAAUUAUAAUUUUAUUGAAUUUCAUUAAAAAAAAUAAUUUUGAAAGCAUGUAGAUAAAUUUUUCAUAUUAACUUUUUUAACUGUUUUAACAUUUCUUUUAUUAACUUUUGAUUUUAUUUGUUUUAUAUAUUACAAAUAACUAUGUUUUAAAACUAAAAAAAAAUUUCCAUAGCCUAAAAAUAUAUUUAAACACUUGUUUUGCCAAUUAUCACUAAAUGCAACGAUAAAGACAAGAGACAACUCUUGCACAUACAUAAAUGGGAAACAAUUUUUACAAAUUUGUUCCCAUACAACCCUUCUUACUAGUAAAAAUACUACAUCAAUUCUAACAUCUUAGAUGUCAUAAAAAAUGAAUACUGUAUAAACUUACAAAGCACUUAUGUAUAAGAUGUACAAGAAAUAUCAUUAUAAUAUGAAUAUGUCUAUAAACAGCAAGAGUCCCAUGAAUACUGUAUAUAAGAUGUAUAAUAGAUGUCAUUAUAAUAUGUCUUAAGUUUUUUAACAGCAAGAAUUCCUUAUUACAAUCUAUUCCUUUCUAUGGAGCCCUCAGAAGCCCUACCUCUUGAAAUCUAUAAAGCACUUAUGUAUAAAAUAUACAAUCAAAGUCAUGAGAUAGAUACAUAAUGGGACGUAUUUUGAUUUUUCAUCAUUACAGCUAAUUUACUCAAGUAUGUGCACAGAACAAUGAGGUUAAAGUGACCUAUUUGCAAGAUAAACCAUCAAAUAAAUUUAUAUUUCUUUAUUUGCUUAAAGAGUAACAAUAGUUUUUACAAUUUUUACAAGUCGUUCAAAUCACAGAAUAUAUUACAACAGAAUGACCAAGAAAUCUGCCUCGUUAUGUACAAUACCAAACUUUUAAGAAAUUGUAGUUCACCUUACAAACGUCAAGUACACUUAAUUUUAAUGGUUUAAGUACACACUCAAUUAGUUCAGCUGUAAGUGUCCGUCCUGGAAACAACCAAUGAAUUAGGGCUAUUUCAUGAAAAAAGUAUAUGCACGAUUGCAUGGCACUUGAAAUGUAUAAAUGGGUAGAGGUAAAAAAUUACAAAUUGUAAGCAAAGUAAAAUGCAUUUUAGAGGUGAUGACCAUAAAAAGGAAACUACCCCAUCCCUCCCCUUCCCCACUUAUUGUUUUUCUUUUUCUGGAAUAGCCCUGAUUAUAAUAUUUACUAAAUCUAAAUAAAGAUUUCUCUGGUAAAUCCAAUAACAUCCAUUUGGAAGAAUUGCUCCCAAGAAAGAUUUUAAAACAAAUCAAAUUGGAUGCGUGAAAUAUGUGUACAGACUCGCAAGGAACCUUCACAAAAAUCACUACCAAGAUUCAUUUUUAGAGCAAAUCCUCAUAGAUAAAUUAUUCCUAACAAAUUGACUUGUACAUGUAUGAACCUAUCACAUUACUUUAAUUGUACAUAUCAAAAUGGAAUUCAGUAACUAUAUAAUUAACAUAAUUUAACAGCUGUCUGAUAUGGUUUGUUUUCCUGGUCUACAUCACACAUUCUAAGGAAUAUAAAUAUAUAUCAUCUGUAUCUCUGAAUUAUUCCAUCUUCAACUCAUCUGCAAAAUAAAUUAUUU
rnacentral:lncRNA from 1 species